CGUUGCAUAUAUUUAUUUAAAAUUGAUUAUGGAUAAAUAGUUCAGUGCCACCUAUCUUAAAAAGGAUUGGUAGAGAAAAAAUCAAAAGUAAAAUAAUUAACAGAGGUCUUGGACCGUAUUAAAAUUUAUUCUAAAAAUAAAAGAAAACGUACCGUAGUACGGACAUUUAUUACGCCGACUCGGUUCGUAUACAAAUCGCAC
rnacentral:lncRNA from 1 species